rnacentral:rRNA from 1 species
GUUGAACGCUGGCGGCAUGCCUUACACAUGCAAGUCGAACGGCAGCACGGGUGCUUGCACCUGGUGGCGAGUGGCGAACGGGUGAGUAAUACAUCGGAACAUGUCCUGUAGUGGGGGAUAGCCCGGCGAAAGCCGGAUUAAUACCGCAUACGAUCCACGGAUGAAAGCGGGGGACCUUCGGGCCUCGCGCUAUAGGGUUGGCCGAUGGCUGAUUAGCUAGUUGGUGGGGUAAAGGCCUACCAAGGCGACGAUCAGUAGCUGGUCUGAGAGGACGACCAGCCACACUGGGACUGAGACACGGCCCAGACUCCUACGGGAGGCAGCAGUGGGGAAUUUUGGACAAUGGGCGAAAGCCUGAUCCAGCAAUGCCGCGUGUGUGAAGAAGGCCUUCGGGUUGUAAAGCACUUUUGUCCGGAAAGAAAUCCUUGGCUCUAAUACAGUCGGGGGAUGACGGUACCGGAAGAAUAAGCACCGGCUAACUACGUG